UAGGGCUGGAAUUUUAUUUUGAAUCUUUCAGCCUGAAAUUAAUUACUGCAGUGAGCAGAGUACUGAUAGAAAUGUGGGUGUAGUGGUAAACGAUGUAAAGUGCAGCAUGUGUGAUUAACAUCAGUCCAAAUUGUAUUGUUAAUACCUUUUGUUAAUGACAUGAUUAUGGACCUUUCGGAGUGUAGUACAUGUCCACAAGCAUUUGCCUAGCAGGAGACAGCAAGCUCUGUAGUACCCGUUUGUUCUCCAUGUGUAAAACAGAGGCCAGCUUUAGUAAAUGGUUUUAUUUAGAAAAUUCACUUUGCCAUUUUAGAUGCCUUUAUUGGUCUUGAUGCUGAAAUUAGUGGUCAUGUGGGAAAGUACACAUGGCGACUGUAGUUCAAUCCAUGGCAGUAUACAGUAAGGCAGUGGGACAAAGGAACAACAGAAAUCAUUACUCAUUUGUUGACAUUACGUACCAUUUUGAGACUCAAUUUCUCCAGGCGUAUUUCAUGAUGAAAUAAAUCUCGUGUGAACAACGGACCUUGUACACUCACACCAAGCUGUUCACUCAAGAUUUAUUACAUCAUGAGAUAUGCCUGGAGAAAUUGAAGAAUCAUACUUUGAGAUUGUUCAGACUCCUCACAACCUGAGAACUGUAAGUAAUAUUUUUCAGCUAGAGUCUGAUUUAGCUCCUCAGCUGUGGGCUCAUUUGCUACAACCAGUACUGGAUAAAAUAUUGCCUUUAAUCUGUACCUCAUAGUAACAAUGGCAACUGGAUGCAACUGUUCGUCUGCCUGCUUGUUUUUCAGAGGUGUAGAACGGCAUCAAUUGACAUGGAGGCGGUUCUAGGCGCUCAGUCCGGAACCGCGCGACUGCUACGGUCGCAGUUUUUUGGAGACCCUAAUCUCCCUGUGAAGCAAGAUCCAGAACUGAAUGUGGACGGCUCUGUGCAUAAUUUUGUUGAAGAACCAUUGGGGAUCUCUUUCUCUACUGAAUUUAUCAAGGAAGAUCCUGAACAAAAUUUGGAAGCAGAUGGAACUCAGAAUAUUGU